UCCGUUGUGGUCUAGGGGCUAGGAUUUGCCGCUCUCAUAAGCAGAGUUCAUGGGAUCUUGAAGAUCCUUUCACUUAAUGGUGCCGGCAAGGCCCGGGUUCGAUUCCCGGCGACGGAA